rnacentral:rRNA from 1 species
GUACCCACAAUUACUUGGAUAACUGUGGUAAUUCUAGAGCUAAUACAUGCAAACAWAGCUCCAACCGGAGACGGAAGGAGUGCUUUUAUUAGAUCAAAACCAAUCGGUGGCGAGUUCGCUCGUCAUCGUUCAACUUGGUGACUCUGAAUAACUUUACGCUGAUCGCACGGUCUCGCACCGGCGACGCAUCUUUCAAAUGUCUGCCUUAUCAACUGUCGAUGGUAGGUUCUGCSCCUACCAUGGUUGUAACGGGUAACGGGGAAUCAGGGUUCGAUUCCGGARAGGGAGCCUGAGAAACGGCUACCACAUCCAAGGAAGGCAGCAGGCGCGCAAAUUACCCACUCCCGGCACGGGGAGGUAGUGACRAAAAAUAACGAUACGGG